AUACGUAGGGUGCGAGCGUUGUCCGGAAUUAUUGGGCGUAAAGGGCUCGUAGGCGGUUUGUCGCGUCGGGAGUGAAAACCCCAGGCUUAACUUGGGGCUUGCUUUCGAUACGGGCAGACUUGAGGCAUGCAGGGGAGAACGGAAUUCCUGGUGUAGCGGUGAAAUGCGCAGAUAUCAGGAGGAACACCGGUGGCGAAGGCGGUUCUCUGGGCAUGUUCUGACGCUGAGGAGCGAAAGUGUGGGGAGCGAACAGGA
rnacentral:rRNA from 1 species